GCACCCCGUCCGGAGCGGGUAAGGGGAGCGGGCGUGCGGGCGUGGGGAGGGAGGGACGAGAUAGGGAGAGGGACGAGUCGGUGGUAACCACCUUUUGGAAUCGGGUCAGAGCGUUAGUUCGUCGGCGGCGCGGAGAGGGAGGAGGGAGGGAGUGGAGUCGGCACUGGGUCCCGAAGCGACAGAGAAAACUACUCUAGGUGGCGGAGGGCUCCAGGAGUAGACGGGGCCCAACGAUGUUUCGGGGUCCUCCUCUUCUCUGGAGCAGCGCUCCUUCCACGCUUCCUCCUCGAGUUGGUUCCGCAGCAGCGAGCCUCCUCCCCUCGUCGCCUACGCUCGGUCCUCCGCCUAACCGAGUCAGGUCGGUACCUCGACGGCGACGCCUGAGGGGCGACCGGAGGAAGCAGAAGUAUAGAAGAUGAGGGACGGCUAAAGCACAAGAAGAAAAUCAAAGGAAGUAUGCGACCAACUAAUAGAACAGCAGGAGAGGACGCAGGUGGCUACGUGGCAAGACGGAAACCGUUAAUCAACUCAAGUAAAACGAACUACAGCAUAGUAGGCAGAAAGGACUAAAGGAUCGGACGAAGAGGAAAAGAUCCAAGAUCCUAGGGGACACAACGACGUAGAACUAGAUGACGAAACUACAUUGAGACAAGACGACGAGCUCCUACCUCGUCGUCCGUAUCUUCUUUAGAUCUCGGUUAAAGAGAACCGACACCGUAGAAGGCGACUGUCAUUGAGAUGUGUUGUCGGACGAUUCUAGCAAAGAUCCACCAACGACUACUUAGUACAUUCCUACCGCGUAUCAAGUGGUCUCCCUUUUCUGGCUUGAUGCUAUUGGUUUAGUUUGUCUACUCUUCCAGGUUAACAGCAACGGAAGUGAACGAAACAGCAAAUGGCUAGACAGUCGAGCGGCCAAGGGACUGAACGACAGUUCCUCUCCCCUCUCUGUACACAAACCUAAGACCCAGAAAUGAAUUAAACAACGUCUUUUAACCAGUUAUCUAGAGUAAAUACCUACUCCAACACCGCCAUCAAGAGCCCACGUCAGAGAUAGAACUAUUUCGGAAGAUAGUCCCGCGUAAUCUACGACUUCUUAUCAUUUGUAAACCCCAAAGACACCGCAAGUUGUAAGUCGCAAAUACAUGACACAUGUACGUGCCGGUACGUGGUGGUCAAGUCAUUGAUCUACCGGAAAAGAUGACAUGACCAAGACGAUUUGAAGUGUACGAUUGAAGAAACUUUUCCCGGUUGUCGCACACGGUGUACAUUUAUCAGGUACAAUGUUUCUUGUCUUGGUCUUCACACCCCUACUACAUAAUUACCAGCCAGUCCCUUAAGUCAGAGCUACUCGAAUUGAUUACUGUAUACACUCAACUCGGACUCCAGUAAAAGUUUCAUUG
rnacentral:rRNA from 1 species